CUCGGAAGUCGGAAGAGGAGGGUGCCGAGUGGCUGCGAACAUCGAAAGGCAGCGUCAAGUUCUGCUUCCCGCGCUGACCGGCCCCGCUCGCCCACGCGUGCCCGGGGAGGCUGGGGGCCAGCCGAGGGGCGGGCGCGGGGCCGGGGGCGCGGGGAAGUGAGCGGAAGUCGGAGCAGAGACCGCGGAAGGAGGGUGGCUGGCGGCGGUCGCGGCAGUCUCCGAGGCCGGUUCAGAUUUGCUGUUUCCGCGUCAGCUUUCCUGGUUUAAGACUAGAGUGUGGCCGCGCUGUGCUUUUCUGUAGAAAGCAACGGUCGAGAGUGCCUCUCGGGUGUAGUGCUCCGAUCGGAAAGGCGGGAGCUUGGUGAUCAAGGGGUUCAGUGCGGCUCAGCCGAUUCCUCAACCUGCCCCUCAAGGGCUCCCCGUUCUGAAAAUGAGUUCUUCAUGUCUGCGGUCCCCGUGUUGGAAACCUGCAGAGGAUGUUGCGGGGGGAAGGGAGGGCUCAGUCUUCCAGGCCGAAGGGACACGGGACUUGAAGGAUGUUUGAUGGAGCCAGAAGAGGAUAUGACCAGCAAGAAUAUUUGUUUAAACUGAAAUCGAGACCUUCCUUCUCUUCAAUGGAGACUCCCAGAUACACAAGCUAUUGGGGGCUAUCCUACCAGAGAGCACAGUAAAGGCAGGAAAAUUUGGACAGAGACACACCCACAGAAGGAGGAUGCCACGUGAAGAUGAAGGCUGAGAUCAGGGUGAUGCCUCUAUAAGCGAAGGGACACCAAAGAUUGCCAGGCAACCACCAGAAGGGAGGAGAGAGGCGUGGAAUGGAUUCUUCCUCAUGGCCCUCGCUCAGAGGGAACCCGUCCGCUGACACCCUGAUCUCAGGCUUCUGGCCUCCAGAACUUUG
ensembl:lncRNA